rnacentral:rRNA from 1 species
AUGAACGCUGGCGGCGUGUCUAAGGCAUGCAAGUCGAACGCGUACGGUAGCAAUACCGUGCGAGUGGCAAACGGGUGAGUAACACAUUGGUAACCUACCCCUCACACGGACAUAACGCGGAGAAAUCUGCGCUAAUAUCCGAUGGACUCCAUUCUCGCAAGGGUGAUGGAGUAAAGGCGCAAGCCGGUGAGGGAGGGGCCUAUGGCCUAUCAGCUAGUUGGCGGGGUAAGAGCCCACCAAGGCGACGACGGGUAGCGGGUGUGAGAGCACGACCCGCCUCACGGGCACUGAAAUACUGGCCCGACUCCUACGGGAGGCUGCAGUCAAGAAUCUUCUCCAAUGGACGAAAGUCUGAGGGAGCGACGCCGCGUGCAGGAUGAAGCUCUUCGGAGUGUAAACCUCUUUUCUCAGGGACGAUAAUGACGGUACCUGAGGAAUAAGCCACGGCUAACUACGU